UACGAAGGGGGCUAGCGUUGCUCGGAAUCACUGGGCGUAAAGCGCACUUAGGCGGACUCUUAAGUCGGUGGUGAAAUCCUGGAGCUCAACUCCAGAACUGCCUUCGAUACUGGGAGUCUCGAGUCCGGGAGAGGUGAGUGGAACUGCGAGUGUAGAGGUGAAAUUCGUAGAUAUUCGCAAGAACACCAGUGGCGAAGGCGGCUCACUGGCCCGGUACUGACGCUGAGGUGCGAAAGCGUGGGGAGCAAACAGG
rnacentral:rRNA from 1 species